GUCCAUUGCUCCAUGCUCUGGUUUUGUAAGAAAAUCUGCCACCGGGGACAACUUUUUGGAAGCAAGUUCUAAGAAGAAGCCAGGCCAUAAUUCUGGGGUACAAGGGGGACCCUUUUCUCUAACUCAAGAGUCACAGCUGGAUUCUGAUGAGAAGGCAAAAACUAAGAAUGGAGAAAGGUUCAUUCUUGAAAGAAGAACUGUGAAAGACAAUCAAAAUGGGCCUGAUUUAUGUUGUCCUGUCUACAAAUCUGGUGCAACUCCGCAGAUAAACUAGAAUCAACUCAACAACAAUGAUCCUGAGGUCUUAAUUACCAAUGUUUACAACACUGGAAAACUUAUGGCUCCCCAGAGGUUAUAGGACUACACUUCCCAUCAGCCUUGCCCAUGGCUUUUAGUCGACAAGUUUUCAUAUUUCCUAACAAAGUGUAGAUGAACCAGUAAGGCAAAUGAUAUUUGAAUAAUGUUUUCAAUAGCCCUGAUCUUUUUACCCCUUCAUAUAAAUUGCAUAAAGAGCAGUUACCAUAAAUAGGAAUCAAGAAAUUGUGGCCAGAAUCCCUCAGGAGAUUAUUCUUUUUUCUCUCGCUUUUCUCCCAGUAUCAAAGUGGCUAACAACAAUUAUGACACAAUUAUCCUACUCGUCCAUCCCACCAAAGGUUUCUGCACCCAUUGUUUCUCUCUGCAAUAUGGACUGGUGAUUAAAUUUGAAAUCACCAUUGUUUGGUUUUCUUUUGUUUUGCUUAUGGUUUUAAAAAGAUAUCUUUCUAAUAUUGUAUAGCUCACAAUGCUACACAAGUGUAAGGUUGUUUCAGUCUUCGUUGUGCUGUGUUCCUCAAGUAACAGCAUAAGAACUAUAUAGGAUUACCUGGUUGAAAACUGGAUAUAGCUUCUGUACCUUUAAUAAUUGUGAAAAGAGGAUAUUACCUGGUUGAGCGAGGAGCAACACCUGCUCAAAUUCUCUCUUCUACACAAACAUUCACAAGAUAGAGGAUCCCUCUCCAAUUUCAAUUCUGGUAACCAUAUAGGUAAGGUAAGUUCCACAAAACCACAAAAGCAAUUUUUAGUACUCUACCAUAAAAGAUUAUGGUUCCAAACAGGUAGUUCCAACCUGUUUUUUAGGUGCAUAUAGCACACAUUAAACAAACUUUUGUCUGAUUUCAGUUCAAAAUUAUGUAGAGUCAUGCUGUCAUAAGUCCCCAAAUUGUGAAAUAUUGUUUUCCUAUUAAAGGAAAACAUUAUACUUGCAAUUUUGUUUUUUAGUCAUGCAUACCUGCUAAAGCAGACAUGGGCAACUUAAGGCCCAGGGGCCAGAUGCGGUCCCCUGGGGGUGCUUACCUCAGGCCCUCCUCAUUUUCCUAUCCUCUCAGCAUAAGUACACAGUGGCCUGUCACAUCCUUAUGGAGAAAGGACAGGGGAGGAAGGCCAGGGCCAGGAGUUGAGAGCCCUCUGGAGUGCUCUCAGCCACCACAUAUUUUGUCCUCCUCCUAACAUAAGGACAGUGUGAGCAACCCCAUCCUUAUGUCGAGAGAAUGGCCUGAGGAAGGCACGAAGCAGCUGAGAGCCCGCCGGGGUGCUCUUGGCCAUCACCUGUCUUGCCUUCCUCCCAGCAUAAUUCUAAGAGGACAGCCCGAAGAUCCGGGAAGGAGGAUCAAGGAGGAAGAUCGGGGUAGUCGCCGCAUGUUUCGUUUUCCUCCCAGCAUAAGAAUGGGGCGAGCAGCCCAUCUCACUCAGCGCAUGCCUGUUCAUCCUACCUCCUGGCCCAGCCCUCUCAGUCAGGCCCACAAUGUGGCCCCAAGGCAAAAAAGUUUGCCCAUGCCUGUGCUAAAGUCUUUCAAAACACAACAUGCUUUGUUAGAUCCUCCACUUCUUUUUUUAUCCCAGGCAUGAGGAGAAACAGUCACUUUGUGAAAAGUAAAAUACUAUUGCAGGAGAUGAGGUUUGCACCCUGUCUCCUUUGGUGCAGGCAGGUUUGGAUUGGGCCCCAGAUAUAUACAUAUACAUAUAAAUUAAUGUUUAGCUACAUGCUCAGGAUUUAACUUUAAGUCUCACUCCUGUGCAUUUUUGUACUUAAGUCAAUGGUAGUUACUUCUGAAUAUACAUGUAUAGGAAUGCAUUAUAGUAAGGAACUGGUAGCUAGAUUGUUAGUUUUGUAUAUAUUUUCUUUCAUGCUUUAUUAUAUGGUUUCCACCACUUUCUCUGAAUAUUAUUAGGUUGGUUCCCUCUCUACCUUCCUUCAGGAAGCAACUGAAGACUUGGAUGUUUCGGCAGGCCUUCGGAGAUAGUCAUUAAUUAAGCAGCCCCAGUGGGUUUUUAAUAAUCUAUCCAGUUUUUAUUACGGUCUUACCAUUUAUGUGUUUUAAAUGAAAUUUUUAUCCUGUAAUGUUGUUUACAUUGAUAUAUCGUAUUACUGUUUUAUCUUUUCAUAUUGUGAUUGUGUUGUGUUGCUUAUAUGUUGUUCUUAUGUUGUUUGGGCCACUGCCCCAUGUAAGCCGCCCCGAGUCCCCGCGGGGAGAUGGUGGCGGGAUAUAAAUAAAGUUUUAAUAUUAUUAUUAUUAUUAUUAUUAUUAUUAUUAUUAUUAUUAUUAUCAUCAAGAGGGGUUUUUUUCAGUCUAAACUAAGAUGGCCUCCAUUAGGGGUCUUACAGCACAUGUGAAAAAGCUGCCCUCUUAAAACUGAAAGGGUCUGUUAUGUUUUAUCGUUUAAGGGAUCCUUCAUAUAUUAUCCUCUUUGGACCAAAUAUGUGGUACUUCCCCUUACCACAUGAACUGGAAUCAUACCUGUCCAACGAUGACAAAUACUGGAAGUUGCAGUCCAACAACAUCUGGAGGGCUGCAUAAUUCCCACGUUCACUUACCAGUAAUUUCUCAUUUCCUUCUAUAGACAGUAUCCACAUAUUUUUGCCUGCCAUGGCUUAUUUUUCACACCACAAGCCCCAAAAUCCUCCAGCCAGCAUUGACCCCCAGCUGGCUUGUUGAGGAUUAUGGAAGCUGUAGUCCAAAAGUACUUUCUAAAGUAAAACAUAAUUUUUACCAAACACUUUAUCAAAUAUGGAUAAAAAUGUGGAAGAUGCAGCUUCUGUGUUCAGAAAGAAGACUUCAGAGGAACUCUUAGUGAGAAACCAAAUGUGUCGCUCAGAUCAAGGAUGAAGAUGAAAAAGCUGAUGGGUCUUUGAUCUUCAUUUUGCUCUCACUUAUCACCACUUGUACUUCUAAUCGACGUUUGGUUGUAAAUAUAAUUUUUUACAGUUUUUGAUUUGGUUUUUUUUCCCCUUGCUUGAAAAAUCAUGGGAUAUGUUAAUACUCGUAUUUUAAAAAUUAUAUGAUAAACCUAACUAUAGAACCACAUAACAAACACCAGCACCAGACGACAACUUUGUCCCUCAGACUACUCUACUAGCUUCAGUUUCAACUGCAAAAACAAUGUGCUAAUAAUAAAGGUGUGCCACCUUA